rnacentral:lncRNA from 1 species
CGGAGGGAAAAUGUAUGACCUUGCUUUGAUAGUUACCGCCUGAUGAUCCCAUAUCUUUUAUCCCCGAUCUCGACCUAUAGUAGCCCGACUUAUCCUUCACCAAGACCAUUAAAUAUGAGGUCGGGCAUACGAGGUCGAGGUGCGUACUUUUGACAAACUCGUAUUCUCUUCCCCCCGCUCUUUCCCAAUAACCUAGAGUAAUACAAAUUCUAUUUGGACCACAAUCCUUACCCUAUUUGAUUCCUUCUUCAACUCAAACAAUGGUUGAACACUUAGAAUAAAACAGCAACUCCUUGUCCUGCAAGGAUAAGGAUUACACAUGGCUAGGUCCUUCUUGGACUCUAUCUUCAACACCUAUAAAUACGUGAUCCAGGGUCAUUCUUGAGAUACAUUUUUCAUUAUUUCCAGUCUAUAGCCUCACGCACUUAAUUUCCUAUCUGACUUAAGCAUCGGAGCGGCAACGAGCACACAUCUCGUUGCCUUUGUUGCAGGUAUUCGAAGACCGUUCGUGUUCAUAAAAGUUCGGAGUUCAAUCAUCAAGUUCGAGAUCUUUUAGGUACUAUUUUUUGGCAGCAUCAUUGGCGCCGUCUGUGGGAAUCGCUACCAAAAGUCAUGGUCAAUACACGUUCAGGUCUUCCUCCAGCAAGCUCAUCUAUCCCAGAUAACUCUCCUCCUGAGGAACACCAUGUCCCUCAAGAAGAAUCGUCAGAGAUGCCGGCACCCCCUCAAGCCGUUGUUACUGUAGGAGCUUUUGAAGAGCUUUGUCAGCAGGUGGCUGCGUUAACCCAAUUGUUAAGCCAGAGAAAUUCGCACCUGUCGCAUACCCCAACCCCUGAAGGUGGUUUUAUGGUAGACGCCCGGGCUCGAGUCCAACGUACAGCUCAUGAUGACGGCGGGGUUGGAACUUCAGGUGCACCACCGGGGGUUUCAGGUUCAACGUCCGUUACAAUGGACUCCACUGAACUUGCUAGAAUCAUUCAUGAAGGGAUAGCAGCGAGUAUGCAAUAGAAUACUCGGGCAGCAACAGGGUCACCCUCAAUAUGCCAUUCACCCCAGAAGUCCUCUCGCAUCCUCUCCUCGACAGGUUCAAAUAUCCUCGAAUAAAGGAAUACGACGGGACAACCGACCCCAUCAAUCAUCUCAAUGUGUACACGGAUAUCAUGAACUUACAGGUUGCACUAGAUGCAGUAAUGUGCAAGGCCUUCCCUCAAACCCUCACAAACGCAGCUAGAGAUUGAUUUUCCACAUUGGAACCAAACUAUAUCGCCUCCUUCUCAGAUUUGGUCGAUAAGUUCUCCGCUUUCUUCUCAAGCAGCAAGCGAAUCAGAAAGACAGCUGCCUCACUCAUGCAGAUGCGUUAAGGACCCAAUGAGACACUUUGUAGUUUCAUGACCAAGUUCAAUAAAGAAAGACUUCAAAUCCCCGAUCUACAUAUCACUGCCGCAGUUCAGCUUUGACAUACGCCGUCAAGUGUGAAGCAUUCAAGAUGUCCUUGUCUAAGACCCCGUCGAAGUCGGUAACCGAGUUAAUCACACGAGCUGAGAAAUACAUCAAUAUGGAAGAAACCAUGGCCCCAAGAAGAGAAGUUUCCUCAUCAGAAAGGUUAGAUCAGAAAAGGCCACAUGAGUCUAGUUUGAGACAAGAUACACCUCAGGAUUGAUCAUCGCUUGACCUCGGUAUCACACCCACAAAGUAAUGGGCUUGCCGAAAUGACUAAUCGGAUCAUACUACAGGACCUUUGAACAAGAAUAGGGGAUGCCAAAGGUGAUUGGCUUGAUGAACUGCCCUCUAUACUAUGGGCAUUAAGGACUUCGCACAAAACAGUAACUCGUGAGAUGCUCUUUAUGCUUGCCUUUGGAAUUGAGGCUACCAUCCCUAUUGAGGUUAGCCUUCCCACAAUAAGGAAGCUCGAUAUGAAUAGGGAGAGACAUACUGAGCACCUUGACUUGCUUGAAGAAGUAAGGGAACAAGCUUCACUUAGAGCUGCAAGUUAUCAAAACAGAACGACGAAGCACUUCAACAACAAGGUCCAGACGAGAAGGUUCAAAACUGGUGAUUUUGUCCUUAGAAAAGCAGAAACUGUCGGUCACCAACUAGGGAAGCUCGGACCAACAUGGGAAGGACCCUGCGAGGUCAUAAAGGUGGAGCCUACAGCCUCAGAGACACAUUGGGGAAGCCGCUCCCAAGGCCAUGGAACGCCGAUAAUCUGAAAAUUUAUUACAAGUAACUAGCUAUAGCUAUAAUUUUUUUCUUUUAAGGCUUGCAUGCCCACUUUAUAUUUGUUCUAUUUCAUUUUUAUUUUUUGAGCUAUAAUGCCCUAACAACUAACUUUUCAAUAAGCUCGGGUAUCAACGCCCUUGAGCCCUCUUAGUAAUAAUGAAGUUUUCUUUAUGAUGUUGCUCCCC